UACGUAGGGUGCGAGCGUUAAUCGGAAUUACUGGGCGUAAAGCGUGCGCAGGCGGUCAGUUAAGUCUGAUGUGAAAGCCCCGGGCUCAACCUGGGAAUGGCAUUGGAAACUGGCUUGCUAGAGUGUGGCAGAGGGGGGUGGAAUUCCGCGUGUAGCAGUGAAAUGCGUAGAGAUGCGGAGGAACACCGAUGGCGAAGGCAGCCCCCUGGGCCAACACUGACGCUCAGGCACGAAAGCGUGGGGAGCAAACAGG
rnacentral:rRNA from 1 species